rnacentral:rRNA from 1 species
CUGUGACUCCUACGGGAGGCAGCAGUGGGGAAUAUUGCACAAUGGGCGCAAGCCUGAUGCAGCCAUGCCGCGUGUGUGAAGAAGGCCUUCGGGUUGUAAAGCACUUUCAGUUGUGAGGAAGGUGGUGUCGUUAAUAGCGGCAUCAUUUGACGUUAGCAACAGAAGAAGCACCGGCUAACUCCGUGCCAGCAGCCGCGGUAAUACGGAGGGUGCGAGCGUUAAUCGGAAUUACUGGGCGUAAAGCGCAUGCAGGUGGUUUGUUAAGUCAGAUGUGAAAGCCCGGGGCUCAACCUCGGAACUGCAUUUGAAACUGGCAGACUAGAGUACUGUAGAGGGGGUAGAAUUUCAGGUGUAGCGGUGAAAUGCGUAGAGAUCUGAAGGAAUACCGGUGGCGAAGGCGGCCCCCUGGACAGAUACUGACACUCAGAUGCGAAAGCGUGGGGAGCAAACAGGAUUAGAUACCCUGGUGG